UCUCUUCCGACGACAGGCGAGGUGGUGUGGAAACGCCAUGGCCGCUGCGUCGGGACGAAAGCAUUUCGGAUGGAGCGCCCGCCGCCUAUGAACUCCGACGAGAUUGCACGCGGUGGAGUCCCCUCCAUCCGCGGCCCCCAUUUUCGACCUCCACCCUCCCAUCACCAGCGGCCACCCCUCCCUCCGCCGCCCCCGUUUCGGGCAUCCCUCCAUCCAUCACCGUCGGCCAAGCUAGGUGGUCGGAUGUGAAAGGGACGAGAAUCUGCCUCGAGUAGGAUGGACGAUGGAGGGGCUCUUCUCCAUAAUUCUGAUGUGGAUCCGCCGGAUCUUGUGUCCCCCAAUCCAACACCAGCGUUUUUCAAGGCUAGAGUCGAGUUUGGCUGCCGGCUUCUUCGGGUCAUGCUGUUCUGGGCACAUGGUGUGCCCUUAGCAGUGCCUAGGUCGUCCGCGAGCUGCACUCGCUGGGCAGUUCCCAUCAAGAACGCCACCAUGGGCCCAUGGUCUUAUCCGGCUUUCACAGAGUUGCCAGCAGGUGUGUACCGUCUGCAACAUUGAGCUGCUAUCAACCCCGUAUCCCUUGGUCUUCCAUCCACGAUUGAUUUAGGCGUUUGCAUAAUCUAUGAUAGGAGUAGUUUUAUUCUAGAACAAUUGGUGAAACAAUCACCGUUUUUAGGUAUCCUGUUGUACUGAUAUCUCAACGAUGGAGGCGCCAUUUGGGAAAUUUUGUUAGAACGUGAUUGAGCAAAUUUUCUGCCUUGAUUCAGAUUGUAAGAUGCAGAGAAGCUUCAGUUUUAAAUCUGUUCAUGCUAUUUUGCAUAGAGCUAAUCUCGAUUCCAUGUGCAUUUCUGGAAUUCAACUAAUGGAGUUUCAGCAGACUUCUGAAUCUGGCCGGCCUCCAGCAAGCUUUUGCUUCUACGACCCCUUAAUGAAAAUGAUAUUGAGAAAUGGAGGUGAAGGCCUUCUUUCAUUAUGAUUUUUUUUAUCACUACAUACUUUAUAAUAUAGUGGCUUCAAAAAGAAUUAGAUAGCUGUUUCGGUCCACUCUUCAUUUCAUUGUCGCCGCCUUCUUUUUAUCAUCAUCACAUCUCCGUAUUCUCUGCAAUUGCUCUCACAGUUCACAGGCUGACUUGCAGUUCUGACAGCUCCGAGGACACCUGGCUCCGUGAAGUGAACUCAUCAUAAAUCAAUUUGUGCAUCCUUCCUUCCUUUAUUUAGUUUCCUUUCCUGUCCUGCUUUUCUCAACCUUUACGCGAAAUUAAACAUUCUUAUGUUCGUAAGAAAACUAAUAUUCCUCUGAGUUGCAUUGUUGACCUUUCGAUUGCCUUGCAAUGUGCGUCUAUCUAUACUAAGAAGUCAUACUGCGUGCAAAUAUGUAGAAUACUCCUGAGGCUAUCAGUGGAAAGUUCUUGUGUGAAUUGCACGCACUUGGGAAUAUAGGGAUCAAGACGCGGUAAAACUCAUAAGAGUUGGACUUCAUUGUUGUUCACCGUGAGUUACUCCUCCACAAAUCAGUAGAUUGCAAUGCCUCAGCUUACUACCAUUUCCUUGUGCAUAAAUACUUGAAUUAUCAGAAAUGAUGUGCAGGCCUUCCUCUGCAAACGAAUGUACUAUAAUAUAGAUUUUAUAUACUACAACUUCGUCAGUAGCAUUAUCUUUUUUUGUAUCGUCAUAAUAUCACUGCUUGCCCUAUCUUUGUAAAUAUACGACCAGUCAUUGUGAUAGCUAUACUACCAUUUUUCUACGCAAAGGAAAACUCAAUCAACUUGGUGCAUAUGUGGCUUUCAUAGUGUAAAAAAGAAUAUCAUGAUAUUGCUAGCACUACUCUGUAACAUGUAAUAUUAUUAUCCAGAAACGUUCAUGUGUGUGAUACUGCAGUUCAGAUCAGUGUUUCAGUUGUUCAAUCUAUGCAGUACUUCAAAGUAAGAAAGCAGAAAAACCUUUAGACCCUAUUUCAGUAUGGACAUCUCUUCUGAAUGGGUGCUUCAGUGAACCUGAAUUUUUUUGUAUUGUUUCGUAAAAACAUGAACUCUUAGUGUAGAAGUAAAAAUAUAAUCAGGCACAUUGACAGUUCAGGUCAUGCUUUUUUUGCUUUUUAAUUAUGCUACUACUUGAUUCUUAGUUAAAGAAUACGCAGUUCAGCUUCAUCGGUCUUGAGUAUCCCUGAGAGUUUUACUAGGACCUCUCUUAGUCUGGUGACAACUACUAUUUCCAUUUAAAUAAGGCACCUGAGUUUCUUUUAGGAAUCAUUUUCCCUUUUUGAUUGCUUUACCGACUACCACGGUUUCAUAUUGAGAUAUAUGCCACAAACAUCUUUAGGAGAUCGUGCUGCUUAUUUACUAAUCCUUAUAAAUAUAUGGAGUUUCUGUACUUACCAAGGUAGUGUAAAAGCUCUAGCAGGAGUUGUGUUUGCUGCCACUAAGUAAGUUAACAAAAAUGGUAGCAGGUGUAUUAUUUGUUCGGACCACGCUAGGUUCAAACACAACUUUUUGGAAGCAAAAGUGAACAGAAAUUUACUAUUAGGUAAGAUCCAACACUAACUGUACUAUCAUUGUCUAAAAUAGCAACAUGAGUUGUUAGUACCGCUAAUGGUGGGGAUGUUUAGGCCUGUAUCUUUAUCAUCCUCUUUAUUUGAUCUGAUUUUUUCUACUUAAAUAGAACUUUCAGUGGAAAGUCUGAUGCUUCAAUGCAUGCUCCUGCAGAAAGUCACCUUGUAUUUUGUUUAUCCUGGGAUUUCUGUCCUUUUUCAUGACAAAUAACUUAAAGAAAACUUCACUGCAUAUUGUCUUCGGUAUGAAAUAUAUUGGUUAUGUCUUACAAGUUAUUGGCAAGCAUUUUUUUUAGCUUCACAAAAUUUUGCUAUAUUUUCAUCUCUAAAUUAUGUGUUGACACUUUGAACACAACAAAUGAUAUUCACAUUUACGGCAUGGACAUGCAUUCAUUGUUACUGAACAAACAAAUUAAGAAGGAUUAAUUAAAUUAUUUUUUUGCCUGAGUCACUUGCUGCCAUGACUUCGAGCGUAUCUUAGCAGCCCUACUUUUUCUCCGUUAAUGCUUUUAUGUAUAUGUUUCUGCAUGGAAAAUUAUGAAAAAGGAGUUUUUAUGAGUAUUAGGGGGCUUGACUGUAGGUCAGCUGGUUCACCAAUUACAUUUCACUAUUUGGCAUCUGGCCUAUAGCCGCAAGGGAGACUUUCCAACUUCUUGUUUAGUGAACAAUCCAGUAAUUUCAGCUGAUUCUUUGAAAUGGGAAAUUUGGAGGUCAAUAACACACUCUAUCAGCGAAAUGUCUGACAAAAUUCUAUCUCUAUGGGACAUCAUCAGAGUAUUGUGCAACUCCACACCCCGAAAUCUAGGCUGCACAUGCCAUGCUAUCCAGUUAUGAAGGUUCGAGAGCAUCGGGAGCGCCCUAAGUUUUACCUAAAAUACUAUACUAAGUUAAAGGGUACCACUUUAUGCAUUAUAAUUAAAAUAGUAUGAAGCUCAUGUUCACUUUGCUUGAGAGCACAUGUACAGUUUCCUUGUGUAAACAUAUGUACUCAUCACUGUGUGGAGCCCAUCACGGUAUAACUUCUAUCAUUCACAUGUGUGAAGAGCUAGAAAGAAGGUGGUUUAUGUAUUAUGACUGGUCAUUAUUUUCUUUUCAGCAUAUAUGUACAGUUGUGAAUGAAAUAAAAUGCAUGUGUGCGCUCAAUUUUAGUUUCCCUUGCCGUUGUUUUCCACCGAAGUGAAUGACUCCAAUGAAUGUUGUAGAUUUAUUCUACGAAGGAAUCCAAUAAGUGAGUAUAUAGUGAAAAUCAUUUGAAUUUUCAUAACAUAUGUUUCAUUUGUGGUGUAUCGGCCCGUUUAUUUAUUUGAUCCUCUGUAUUUGCAUAAGGUAACAGAUUUUGUAUUGUUUCUUUUGCUCAGUUUGAGACGACAUGAUGUGGCGCAUUCAUGGCUUGGCUGAGGAAGAGUCCGUCAGAAAGCAUGUAUCCAUCAAGAACAUCCACAUCGUUGUCGUGGUCAUGUCAUCGGCAAGUCCUAUUUCUUGCUUUGUUUGCAACUAAACAUGGUGCUACAGAUUUUAUGUUCACAUUAGCUUCAUUGGAAAGACAAGAUACACAUUUUGCUACCCAACAUAGAUUAAAUGAUUAAUUGAGAUCGAGCUGAAGGAUAGAUAGAUCACCUCUAGACUAUCGACA